AGGACGAACGCUGGCGGCGUGCCUAAUACAUGCAAGUCGAACGGUCUUUCUAUGGAAGCUUGCUUCCACUGAGAAGAUAGUGGCGAACGGGUGAGUAACACGUGGGUAACCUGCCCAUAAGAGGGGGGAUAACAUCCGGAAACGGGUGCUAAUACCGCAUAGUUUUCUUGAUCGCAUGAUUGAGAAAGGAAAGACGGCCUUUGUGCUGUCGCUUAUGGAUGGACCCGCGGCGUAUUAGUUAGUUGGUGAGGUAACGGCUCACCAAGACGAUGAUACGUAGCCGACCUGAGAGGGUGAUCGGCCACAUUGGGACUGAGACACGGCCCAAACUCCUACGGGAGGCAGCAGUAGGGAAUCUUCCGCAAUGGACGAAAGUCUGACGGAGCAACGCCGCGUGAGUGAAGAAAAGGUUUUCGGAUCGUAAAACUCUGUUGUCAGAGAAGAACAAGUUGGAGAGUAACUGCUCCAGCCUUGACGGUAUCUGACCAGAAAGCCACGGCUAACUACGUGCCAGCCGCAGC
rnacentral:rRNA from 1 species